CACCAGAAGCUGGAAGAGGCUGAGAAGAAUGGCAGCAGGGCUCUGCCAACACUUGAUUUCAGACUUCUGGCCUCCAGAACAGUGAGAGAAUAAAUCUCUGUGGUUUUAAGCUUCUGGGUUUGGUAAUUUGUUAUAGCAGCCCUAGGAAAGUAACACACCAAGCGAAUGACAUAAAAAACCAACACAAAUGGUCAAUAAAUAUUAAAAGUCAGCCUGAGCAUCUUUUUUAUGAAUUACUGGCCAUUUGUAAUUUUGCCUCUAUCUUUGCUGUCAUGUAUCCCAUUCUCCACAGAGCAGCCAGAAUGUUCUUUCUACAAAGUAUAUUAGAUUAAAUCAGAUUCCUCUGGAGGGGCAGAAUCAACCAAUAUCUGCUAUAUUAGGAUUAGUUUGGGUACAAGUAACAGCAAACCCAAAUAUCAGAGGCUUAAAUAAAUAACAUCACUUAAGAUGGUACUAGGAGUUCCAGUCGUGGUUCAGCGAUACGAACCCAACUAGGAUCCAUGAGGAUGUGGGUUCAAUCUCUGGUCUUGCUCAGUGGAUUGAGGAUCUGUCAUUGCCCUGAGCUGUGGUGUAGAUGUGGCUCAGAUCUGGCGUGGCUGUGGCUGUGGCGUAUGGCAGCAGCUGGAGCUCUGAUUUGACCCCUACACUGGGAAUGUCCAUAUGCCAUGGGUUCAGCCCUAUAAGUAAAAAAAAGAGGGGGACUAGAAGUUUGUAGAUUAGGGACUCAAUAGUGCCAGGAAUAACUUAGCUGCUUUAAAACCGUGAAUCUACUCCUCCAUUCUCAGAUCAAUGUGACCCUAAUUCCUAUUCCAUCUCUACUUAUCCUAGUGCUCUAUUUUCUGCAAUUCAAAAUCAUCAAAGCAUAAUCAUCAAAACCCUCUAAUGACUCAAUCUUCUCAGAAUGUUUCCUUCUCUUUGUUGUUUGGAUGGUUACCUGCUCUCCUUGGAAGACUGUGCUUCUUUUGCAGAGUCACUCUGUGGUACUGGCUGUCUUUAUCCCACACUUCUCACAUCCUGAACCUGAGAGUGUCAGGUGACCUCCCUGAUAUACAUUAGGGCUUCAUGACUAUUUUCCUUCCUUCUUCUUUAAACCUCCCAGCUUUGAACUGUUAAAUGAUGCCACCAGCAUCCCCUCCAUACAGCAGUCAUCCACAGGUACUCACUGUAAUUCUUUACCAUUCUCUCCAACAUCAUUCUAUCAUAAUUCUUGGUAAUUUAAUGAUUCAUUCAUAUGAUUUUUCCAACCCCUGGCUUCUCAGUUCCUUGACCUCCUCUCCUCUAAAAUGUUCAUCUUCUGUCCUACUUCACCUGAUCCCAAGGUUUAUUGCUUAGACUUCCACAUAAGUAAUAAUUAAUCCAUUUGUAAACUCAGUUUCAGGCAUUCACUCAUUGAAGCCUGUCUCCAAUUAUUUCAUCUUAGCAUCACAUCCAUGGGACUUUAAUGCAUUGAACUUACUUUUUCACCGUCCCUCAAUUCUUCUCAUUUCCUGACUUCCAUCUCCAUCAACCUUAAAUUCCAGGGUCAUUUCUUAUAAUCACACUCAGCUAAAUUCAUGAUCCCCAAGAUCAAAUGGCUCUUACGUUUUUGAGUAACCUGAUUUCCUUAGUUUAUUCAGUUUCCAUAUUCCUAGAUAACUAUUUAUUUUACACUUUUUAUAAUCUCCUCAAAUGAAUGUCUCCUUCAUUAUAUCCUUGUCUCCUGCACUCAAGUCUAAUAUUUCCAGCAGCUUCACCAGACAUCUCUGGAUGAUUGUCUCAUAGGUAGGUAUCACAAAUUUAAAAUGUCUUAAACCAAACUCUCCACCUUCUACUGAAAAUAUGCUCAAAUAGAGAAUUCCCAUCACAGUGAGCGGUAACUCAAUUCUACCCUUUAGCGGAGGACAAAUAUUUAUUAAAUUAAUUAUGUAACUUUCAAAAAUUCAGGGUCUUUCAUUGUCAGGUCAUGGGUUCAAGAUAGCUGCUAUAGUGUUAAAACACCUAUACAUCAUCAGAAUAUUCAAUGCCAGGAAACAAUGGUGAAAAAAAAAUAUGGUUUAAAUCUUGCCUUUUGUCAGGUAACAAAACAUUUACUAAGGUGCCCCUUCACAGCUUACUUUCCCUUAUCUAUUAUUGGCUAGAAUUAGUAUACAUUACCAACCCUGGAUGCAAGGAAGACUUGGAAAUUGGAAAUUUAAUUUCUAUGACUUGUUUAGACCAAUUCAUCCUUUGCUCCCAAGCACCUUUCCUUUCAUAUCUUUUAAUUCUUACUUGGACUUAUAUGGCAGUUAUAAAAUACACAGCUCUCUAAAAGAUAAAAUUCAAAAUGUGUGGCAUCUAAUAAAAAACUACCAGGCAUACAAAUAAAAAGGAAAACAUGAUACAUAAUGAUGAGAUAAAUUAAUUAAUAUAAAUGACACUAAAAUGAUAACAAUAAUAGAAUUAGACAAGAAUAUUCUAAAAUAAUUUAACUGUAUUCAAUGUGUUUGAGAAAGUAAACAUAAACAUAUCAGUCAUAAAAGAUAUAUUCUUAAAAACUGAACAUCAAGAAAUGUAAAACAUGUUUAAGAUUUAAAAUAUAUGAUUAACAGUAGAUUAAGCACUAUAAAAGAAAAUAAUGCAAAAUAUGAAAACAUAGCAAUGGAAACUAUCAAAAAUGAAACACUAAGGGGAAAAAAAAGCCUGAAAAUAUGGACAAAACGUCAGUAAGAUGUGGGACAAUUUUAGUGAGUCUAAUGUAUGUAUAUUUGGAAUCCUGAAAUUGAAAGAGGGCAAAUAGAUAAAAACAUACAUAUGAAAGCAUAAUGGCCAAAAAUUUUCCAAACUUGAUGAAAACUAUAAACUCACAGAUUCAAGAAACUCAAAGAAACCAAAUUAUGAGGAAACUACACUAAUGCACAUUUCAGUCAAAAUAAUUAAAACCAGUGACAAAGAUCUUAAAGUAACCUACCAUUAAAUGGAAUAAAAAUAAAAACAGACUUCUCCAAAGAGCAACUACAAGCUAGAAGACAAUGGCAAAUUUCUUUAACAACAACAAAAACAAACUUUCAAACUGGAAUUCUAUAC
rnacentral:lncRNA from 1 species